AGGGCUUGACAUCCUACGAACUCUUAGGAAACUAGGAGGUGCCCUUCGGGGAGCGUAGAGAC
rnacentral:rRNA from 1 species